rnacentral:rRNA from 1 species
UACGGAGGGUGCAAGCGUUGUUCGGAAUCACUGGGCGUAAAGCGCGUGUAGGCGGCCACCUAAGUCUGGUGUGAAAGCCCUGGGCUCACCCCAGGAAGUGCACUGGAUACUGGGUGGCUGGAGUACCGGAGAGGAGGGUGGAAUUCCUGGUGUAGCGGUGAAAUGCGUAGAUAUCAGGAGGAACACCGGUGGCGAAGGCGUCCCUCUGGCCGGAUACUGACGCUGAGACGCGAAAGCGUGGGGAGCAAACAGG